UAGGAUAAUGCACUUCCUAUCCUGGCCC
rnacentral:piRNA from 1 species